rnacentral:lncRNA from 1 species
CAAAAUUGAUAAAAAAAAUAAAAAUCAACAAAAGUUAUAAAAAUUACUAAAUUUUAUUUAAAAAUUAUAAAAAUCGUAAAAAAAAUUAUAAAAAAUUGUAAAUCUUAUAAAAUUCAUAAAAUUCAUAAAAAUAUAUAUAAAUAUAGAAAAAUAAUUAUAAAUUUUUAUAAAGUUAGUAAGAAAAUUAUAAAAAUAUAAAAAAAUAUAAAAUUAGUUGUACGGGCCCAAAUUUGCCUGGGCCCAACAAGCCCAAAUAAUAAUAAAUAAACCCAAUACAAACCCAAAUUCUAAAAGCCCAAAACCUAAAGCCAAUUUAGAAACGAAACCCUAGAGGAUCCCAUGUGCGCCGCUCAUCCUCGGGCGCCUAACCCGCCCCGUCCCAUCACCUGCGCCUCACGAACCUGCAAAGAAGACCAAAAUAGCAAAGAGACAGAGGCGAAACAGAAGCAAAACCAUACAGAACAGAGGCAGAAACAAUACAAAGCAAGGAUUGAACAGUAGCAAGGACGAAAAUCACAUGUAAUGCCUCGGUUAUAUAAAGCCACCAAAAACUAAUGUAAAAGGGGAGGGGGGAACACACAAUCAAUACUAAAAAAAAAAGAGAGAUACAAAGCUUUUCAAAGGAUUUUUGCAUUUUUUUUCACUUCCUCCCUUUAUUGCUCUUUUUAUUUUUAUUUUUGAAUCUAUUGCAUGUGUAAACCCCAAAUUAUGCCUGGGCUAAAACAAAACCCCAAACCCAAAUAACCCUAAACUAAACUCUAAAUAAACCUAGCCCAAAACACAAACCCAACAACCCUAAGCCCACUAAACCGACCCAAGACCUUAACAUACAGAAAAAAAAAAGAAAGAAAUAAACCCUAGCCACUGUCAGAGCCUAGCCACCGCCUCUGCUGCCACCUCCAUGUCACAUCCACCGCCCUCCACUUGCACCUGCAGAGUAGAUGAAGAAAAGACAAUUAGUAAUAAGCAAAGGCUUGUAAAUGGCUAUAAAAGCCAAGCGUAAAUGUAUUGAACGAUUUGGCAUUUUUUAGCAAAUACAAAAACACUUGACAACUUUUUUAGAUCUAAAUACAUACAAAAGCAGUGAUCUCAGUAAUAACAAAUCAGGAGAAUAAUCCCAGAUCGGAGACUCAAAAUAUCAAAAUCAAAAACCAAAAAACAUAAGGUGAUCUUAUUUAUUUUAUUUUUUUUCUUUUUUCAUUUCUUUCUAUUUUUUGAAUCUAACCCUACCCAUAUAUACACAUAUCAAAGGCUCAUAAAAAGCACAAAAUAAAAAUAAAAAAAGGGUACCUUUUCGGAGUUGCGGCCACUGGAGUCCGACGGCAACCUUGCGACAGUCCGACGAUCCCAUUUGGCCAGCUACUAGGUUUACCCAGAGAGGGAAAGAGAGGGCUGAGAUUUUUUUGUUUCAAAGAAGAGAGAUGAUUAUUUUUUUUCAAAAUUUUUGGCCUUUUAUAGCCCCACAAAAACGACGUCGUUUCAUUUGAGGGGGUUAAACGCCAAAACGGCACCAUUUAGGCGCCGACCCGAGGACCCGACUCGCUCCACUAAGGAUCCGCGUGUUUUUUCGACGGAAAGGCUAUUUGCGCGUUCAACCCUUCCGUAUUUUUUUGCUUUUAAAUUUCGUUUUUUUUUUGCUUUUAAUUUAUGCCUAGAAAUUUUAUUUCUUUGCCAAUUUAGUCCCUUUGAAGCUGCGCGUUUUGGGACAAAGGGUUAUUACCCAUUUUAGUCCUUCCUGGUCGUUUGCGUGUGCGAAUUAAUCCACUCUUCUUUUAUUUAUUACAAAUUCGCCCCAGAAUUUUGUUUUCAGAUUCAAUUAUGUCCUUUCUAUUAUUUUUGAUUGUUUUAUUACAUUAUUUAUAUUAUUAUAUUUGCAUUUAUAUUUAUUUUAUUCUAAUGCCAUUAUUAUUAUCACUUCUAUUAUUAUUAUUACUAUUAUUAUUAUAUAUUAGUGUAUAUUUUUAUGUAUAUAUAUAUUUAUAUAUAGUAUUGUUUUUCUAUUACUUUAAUUUAAUAUUUUUAUUAUAUUUGCUUUUUGUAUUUCUAUAUUAUUAUUAUUAUUAUUAUUAUAUAGUAGUGUGUAUUUCUAUUAUAUACGUAUAUAUGUAUAUUUAUAUAUAGUAUUAUUAUUUACCUUACUUUAAUAUUAUUGUUAUUAUUAUCAUCAUCUUUGUAAUUACUAUUACCAUUGUAUUAUGACUAUUAUUAUAUUUUCAUUUUCUUAUUACUCAUCUACAAGGGCGAAGCCAGAACAAUUUUUUGGGGGGGGCCGAAUGAAAUUUUAAUUUUUUAUAGUCUAUAUAUUUAUAAUUUUUAAAGGAUUAAAUUAAAUUUUUAUAAUUUUAGGGGGGCCAAAGUGUAAUUUUACCUUUACUAAUUUAAAAUUUUAAAAAAAUCUAAAGGGCCUCAAUGAAAAUUUUCCAUUUUAGGGUGCCCCCGCUGGUUUCGCCCCUGCUCAUCUAUUAUGUUUCUUAUCUAUUUAUAUUUUCAUUAUUAUACUAUAUCUAUUAUUUAUUAGCAUUUUACUAUUACUAUUAUUAGUAUUAGCGUUUUUUAUCAAUACUUAUAUGUAUGUAUUAGGUUUUUUUAAUACUAUAUUUUUAAUACCGUACAUGUUGUGUAUAUUCUUAAUACUAUAUUGUGUAUAUAUAUUUUUAAUAACUAUAUUAUGUAUAUAUUUCAUAUAUAUAUCAUGUAUAUAUAUUAUAUUUUAUGUAUAUAUCUUCAAUAUCACAUUAUUCAUACAUUCUUUAUAUUAUCCCAUGUAAAUACUUUCAAUACUAUAUUAUGCCUGUAUUUUCAUCUAUAUUAGAUAUAUGCUUUUCAUACUCGAUACUAUUAUUAUUUCUAGUAUGUAUAUAUUAUGUAUAUAUUGUUUUUACUACAUAUAUAUUUUUUAUUUCUAUUAUUACGUAUAUAUUUUAAUACAUAUAUGUAUAUAUAUUUAUGUAUCGUUAUUAUUAGUUAUUUUUUUAUAUAUUAUUACUGUUUUCAAUAAAUAUCGUAUAUAUUUUUAAUCUAGCAUUAUAUAUUUUACAUAUAUAUGUUCCCCACUAUUUCAUAUUAUUAUUAUUAUUAUCCUUUUAUCACUAUUUUUAUUAUUAUCAAUAUUAUUAACAUUAUCGUUUUCAUUAUUUUGUCAUUGUCUUAUAUUUAUUCAUUUAUGUAUUCGCUUAUUUCAUUUUCCCUACGCGUUUGUUUUAUAUUUUAUUAACCUUGUUUUUAUUUCAUCCUUUUGCUCGUACUAUUGUAUUUGACAUUAUCGCACCUAUCAUUAUGUUAUUAUACGUGUUAAUAUCAUAAUUUGUUUUUAUAUUUUACUAUAAAUCGCAUCAUUUUUUGCUCGCUACCUUAAAAUAAUUCUUUCAUAAAAGUAAUAUUCCGUAUUUGGUAAUUCAAGACGAUCGUGUUCUAACUUACUGGGUUUCAAUUUUUCGCAUUUAACUUAAAUAACGGAAUACUCUUUUAAAUCACAAUAUGAGCUUUGAAAAAUGCUUAUUUUCGGAGAUACGAUGUGUGGUGCCCUAACUUACCGAGUAUGACAUUUUGUUAUCUAGAAAUAAAAGUUUUCGCAAAUAAAGGCAAUAUUCAGUGUUCGAAAAUUCGAAGAAACGUGCCUUUAACUUACUGAAUUUCGAUUUAACCGAACAUCCCUUUAAAAGAAGUUAAAAUACAUUAAUACGUAAAAGGGGAUUUUUCAAAAAAAAAAAAUAUCAAUCAAAUACAAAAAAUAACAGAGAUUCAAGUAAAAUCGAAACUUUACGAAUACAAAGGAAAUAGAGAAAACACUCAAAGAUUGAAGGUGAUUUACUAUUCAUAUUCUUUUUCUUCUUGCUUUGAAGGUACUUUUUCGUUAAAACAAAUAAAAGAGAGAUUCCAAAGACAUUUACCUGCGGUCUCGUUCGUCAGAGGCCAUUCUCUGGCUUGGAUAUCGGACCAAAGGGGGUGAAUGGGUCUCCUCUUGUUUUUACACGACUUGGGUCAUGAGCCACGGCAGAGGUGGAGGCGUGAACGCCGGUGAUACCCAUGAGCAACCAAAAGCGGGGGCCAAGGUUUAGUCUGUGUUCAGUUGAAAGAAAAUCAAAAGGGGAUUAGAAGGAAGUCCUAGCAGAGGAAAGAUUGAAAACCCUUUUUAAAUAUUGUCAGAUUUGGUGCAAAUGGUUUUGACAAACAAAAUUGAUUGGUAUUUUAAAUAUAAGGAAACGGUGUUGUUUGGGUAAAGGAGUAAGGGUCUGCGCAUUCCCUUAUAAAAUGGGUAAUUUGCGCGGUCAAUACUCCUCGUUUGCCCUGCUGUUUAUUUAGGCCUUGUUUAUCCUUUUUUAUUUUUUUAAACAUUUUCC